CCACCUGGCUUACCUCCUCAGUUAUGCGUCAUGACUUGUAUCGUCUUGAGCGUAUUGUGGGUUUCCUGUGUUGCAUACCUUUCUAAUGGUAUCGUGUUGAUUGAUCAAAGUCCCUUUUCAUCUUGUGUUGCUUUUUGCGACGCAUGAUGAACCUCGAGGCGGUCUCUAUGUUYCACCACGUUGAUGCUAGCGUUUUGAUGUUGUGGCCCAUUGAGUUUUGCUUGGUUUCGUGGAUACAGAACAUGAUUUGGGCAUAGGGUUACUUGUGACUCUUGUUUUGUCCUUUAUCGGUGUUCUUUAUAACGACGGUUCAUGGCGCCUAGGCUCGUACCUGCGCGAUGUUCUUUGUCGAAGAGGAAUGCUACCUGGUUGAUCCUGCCAGUAGUCA
rnacentral:misc_RNA from 1 species